rnacentral:lncRNA from 1 species
CAAGGAGACUGUUGCCAUGGUGACUCAGAGUUGAGGCCAAUGGCGGCUCCACCAUCCUGUGGCUAUGAUUCCUGAACUUGUGGUCUCCUCAGUUGAUGAGGUGAAGAAAGAAAGCCUGGAGAAUUAUGCACGAGCUUCUCACUGUCUCAGCCCACAAGUAACACACCUCUUUCCCUCACAGCCCACACUGGCUGGAACCAAUCACAUAGCCCUGCCUAACUGCAAGGGAGGCCAGAAAGUGCAACACUUUCUCAUGGUCACGGGUGAGCACGAAACAUCUCUCCAAAUAUGGGUUGGGAAGAUUAAGAGACUAGUCCAGAAGAAAACAGUCUCCAGGGAGAAAUAUAUCUGGGAAUAGGAAUCGAGAAAGCAACCAAGAGAGCAGAACUGAGUGGAUGAGAGGAACUGUCAGACCACAUCUGCAGCUCUGAUUAGUCAAAUCCGAAAUGUGCCUGUUGAUCUACUAUUCCGUGGAAAUACUGGAAUCACCAGCUCAAUAAUAAGAGGAAAGUAAAUAAUACCAUACUUGCGUGGAUAAUUCCCCUCUGCUCAUACCUUCAUUCAGGUCAACAUAGAUCUAUCAUACUCCUACAGUGUAUAAGGGACGUGCUAAGCUUGAAGUACAUUCAUUCUAAAAAUCAAAAUACAAAGGCAUGGGAAGACUAAGAAAAUUUCAUAAACCUUCAUUAAAUUAUCAGAAAUACCUGGGAUUCUCAGCUCCAUUUAUAAAGAAACCAGAGUUACAGUUCUUCCAUUACUGAUUGCUUUCUGGAUUGAAUAUUUGAACUCUGCUUUAGUGAUUCCUCUUGCUUAUAUGUGGGAGGAAGACCCCCUACCCUGAGCCAGCAGCUGGAGCACAGCCUGAACACACAGGUUCUCCCUCCUUAAGUGUUGGGCUCUAGAUUCAAGGUUUGAGUACCAUAGCCUUGAUCAGCAGAGAGAACUAACUACCUAGUUUCUACAGCUUUGCUUACUGCCUCUAAAGAUAGACAUUAACACCUUAUUUUUGAAUAUUAAUUUAGAGUUUACAAGGGCCCUAUAACCUUAAUUCAUCUCAUCUCUGUAACAGUCCUGUGAAUCUCAGGUAUUUAUUCAUAGCAGUGCAAGAAUGGCCUAAUACAUCAAGUAAACAGAUUAUUCCAACACAACAGAGAGCACUGUGACAAGGCUACGAGGUCACAAAGGGAAGAACAAGGAACUCUGGCUGGCGGUGAGAGUUUUCAGUGAAGUAACAAUAUCUGACUAGGGUUUUGAAGAAUGAGCAGAAGCUCUGCGUCAGAUGAAGAAGAGACAGGAGGCCCUCCAAGCAAAGGAACCACUCAUGUCAAGACAUGGGGCAAAAAGAGAGGAUGUAUUUGGAGAACAGAGAGUAACCGAAGGCUAUCAUUCAAUCAGUGAUAGUCUUCAUGGAGGUUAAUAUCAAAGGCAACCUGAAUUUCCUCAGACUUCAUGAGCUGGCGGUGAAGGGUGAGAUCACACAAGCAGUAAUAACCCAGCUCUCCCUGGCUCACUGCCUUACUUACUGGCCUUCUGGUACUCAGCAAAGCUGUCCCCAUGAGUUUGGGAGUCUCCAUUCCUGUCCUUCCACUCCCCUCAAACGUCUUUCAUUCAAGGUCACGUGGUAACUUGACUCCUCUCACCACUACUUCUGUGGGAAUGCAGAGGCCAGGCCAGAGCCUGUGGGUGCUGCCCUCCCCAGAGACUUCACUAUGCCCAGCUCCAGGGAGGACUGACUGGAGGAGGGGACCAGGCAUCUCCCCUGCACUCUGGGCCCACAGCAACCCUGUAUACCAGCCCGUAUUAACCUUGCAACGCCUUCCUCCAAAAGGCUGAGACUUCAACCACAGGACCUGGGUGGUGAUCACCACAAAAUUUCUUCCUGAACGUUCUUCUCCAACAACUUCUCACAUUCAGUUAUUCAUUCAACAAACAUUGAGCAACAACCUAAUCUUCUGGGCUCUGGAGACCGAGUUAAAAAGGAGACAGCAGGCCCCUGCCCCCGCUUCCCGACAGGUCACCACAUCUUGAGUGCUAAGACUGUCAUCACAGGGUGAGGAGGGGAAAUGAGCUCAGAGGGGCAGAACCUUCUGAAAGGGCAGAAUGGUUCAAGCAUCCCGCCAAGGUCAGAAGGCGCUGGAUCCAGGGCAAAAAUGAAGACAUAAGGGACCUUAGGUGACAAGGAAGAAGCUCCCAGGCAGCAUGUGGGAUGGACCCAAGGAGAACGUCAGAGAGAAAGAGUUCAGUCUGGUGUCUCCUGAAGCAGGUUAAAAUUAAGCUCGGCAGGCUCGACGUAAAUGUGCAGACAAAGCAAAGCAGGAAGCCUCCCACACUAAAAAGGGAAGAUAAGAAUCACAGAAGCUGGGAUGGUUUUUAUUGAAGGGCAUUUCAAAGCAAAUACAGACAUCUACAGCAUAUUUGUAAAUCCUCCGUAUGUGUAUGGAAACACACACCUUCACACAUCAAAACUGGAUUUGUUCCUGAGUAACAAAACGUCCUAAGAACAAAAUGAAAGAAAACCAAAUAGCAGAAAAAUACUUCCAAUGUAUAUACCACAAAGGAUUAUUUAUCAACUCAACACACCAAGAGUUAAGAAAAUAAUGCAACAGGAACAAAGGGCAAAGGAUAUGUACUGGGAAGACCACAGAGAAAGAAAAUGCAAAUGGCUAAUAAUAUAAAAUAUUUCCUAGGUUCAAUAGUAAUCAGGGAAAGACAAAAUUACACUUUUGACCUCUUAGACUGGCAGUGACAAAGAUUAUUUGAGUGACCAAGCUUUAGUCAGGCUCCUGGAUCUUCUAGGCCCAUCUGGGCACUUCCUCGUAAAAUACAGUUUUAACAAAAGCCCUGCUAAAUUGGUUUACCGAGAACUCCCACCCUCAAUCGAGUUCCUUAGCCCUUCACCUUUCCUCAGGUGAGGGCUGAUCAUCCUGUCCUGUCUUCAGCAAGACUGCUCUAACGCUGACGUUUCCUUUUAGUAAUUUUCCAUCCACUGACACCCACUUGUAAUUUAUAGCCAAGGAGCAAGAUACACUGCUCCUUGGCUAUAAGUUAUUUUCCCUGUUACAUUCAGAGUUGAGCCCAAUCCCACUCCCCGACUACAAAAUCGAUAGCAGUGGUCCCUAUACCUAUUGCAAUGGUCCUAAAUAAAACCUGCCUUACCGUGCUUGAAC